UUUCCUCUCACGUCUGUUACCUAAUUUUUCUCCUCCUCCAAACGUAGUGUUAGGCGUUCAAUGGUCCAGUAGAUUGAAAAAAGAGCCAACUAUCCUUCAAAAAGGUCGCUGGCCAUCUACCACGUUAAUCGUAAUUAUGGAAGAUCGUUCCUUCCUUCAACUACUAAACCAUUAUUAAUUUAAUAUAUAUACUCUCUUUUAACAAUCUACCUCACCACGCUUCUUCUCCUUCUUCACUCUGCAGCUCACUCACCUAGAGCUACUCACGACGCCCUUUCUUAAGCAAACAAAUGGCUCUGAAAUCCUUUAUUCAGGUACAUCCCGAUUCUCACUUCCCUAUCCAGAACCUUCCCUAUGGAGUUUUCAAGCCUCAACCGACUUCGCCGCCUCGACCCGCUGUUGCAAUCGGCGAAUACGCUCUGGACCUCUCCGAGAUUGCUCUUGCCGGCCUUUUCGACGGUCCGAUUCUCAAAGGCUCCGAUUGUUUCCUUCAGCCUAACUUGAACAAAUUUUUGGCCAUGGGAAGGCCGGCGUGGAAGGAAGCUCGUGCCACACUUCAAAAGCUAUUGUCUUCUACUGAACCUGGAUUGCGUGAUAAUGAAAGUUUGAGGCAGAAAUCACUUUUGCCAAUGAGCAAGGUGGAAAUGCUUCUGCCUGUUGCCAUAGGGGACUACACGGACUUCUUUUCUUCGAUGCACCAUGCAAAGAAUUGUGGAACUAUAUUUCGUGGACCGCAGAAUCCUAUUCCAGCAAACUGGUGUGUUAAUUUUGGAGUUGUGGGAAGCUAAAUCUUUUGUUGGGUGAAUACUUAAAAUAUUACCACGCAAAUUUUUUUAUUUGAACACUCAAGUCUUGUAAAAUCUAAUUCUAUAUACAGGUUCCACCUUCCUAUUGCAUAUCAUGGACGAGCAUCAUCUAUUGUUAUAUCUGGAACAGAUAUUGUGAGACCAAGAGGUCAAGGCCAUCCAGCUGGAAAUUCCCCACCUUAUUUUGGACCUUCCAUGAAGCUAGACUUUGAGCUAGAAAUGGCUGCUGUUGUUGGCCCUGGAAAUGAACUGGGUAAAGCUGUGGAUGUUAAUGAAGCAGGAGAUCAUAUAUUUGGACUUGUAUUAAUGAACGACUGGAGUGCUAGAGAUAUUCAAGCUUGGGAAUAUGUGCCUCUUGGGCCUUUUCUUGGAAAGAGCUUUGGUACUACAAUAUCCCCUUGGAUUGUAACACUUGAUGCUUUGCAGCCUUUUGCUUGUGAUGCCCCCAAACAGGAUCCCCAUCCAUUGCCAUAUCUAGCUGAAAAAAUAUCCAAAAACUAUGACAUUUCACUGGAGGUCCAAAUUAAACCAGCAGGACAAGAGGAUCCAUGUGUGGUCACAAGAAGUAACUUCAAGAACUUGUAUUGGACAUUAACUCAACAGCUUGCCCACCAUACAAUAAAUGGUUGUAACCUAAGGCCAGGCGAUCUGCUUGGAACUGGGACAAUCAGUGGACCUGAGCCAGAAUCUCUUGGAUGCUUGUUAGAACUAACAUGGAAUGGACAAAAACCAUUGUCAUUAAAUGAAGCAGCACGAACAUUCCUAGAAGAUGGAGAUGAAGUCAUUUUCAGUGGUUAUUCUAAGGGAGAUGGCUACAAUGUUGGGUUUGGAACAUGCUCUGGAAAAAUUCUUCCAUCACUUCCAUGUUGAAAUUGCUGUUCAUUGUCUGUUGUGUUUUCUGUAAAUCCUUUUCUUCAAUUUUCAAUGUUGUUAAUGAAGCUCAUAUCAAACUGUAUGCUGUUUAAUUGCCAAUAACUGUUUGUUGAAAGCCAAAUUGUAUGCCUACAUGAGGAUGACAACUUUGUAGUUAUGCAUGCUGAAAUGGUUGUGACCAUUAUAUUUCUUAGCACUCGCCUUUUAUUAUUGCUAAGAAGUAAAAGAAAUGCUAUUAUAUUG
rnacentral:misc_RNA from 1 species